GCCUCGGUGGUGUAGUGGUAGCCUUCGUCUCCGGUACGGAUGAAACGCGAGCUUGACUCUCGUCUGAGGCC